UACGUAGGCAGCGAGCGUUGUUCGGAGUUACUGGGCGUAAAGGGUGUGUAGGCGGUUGUUUAAGUUUGGGGUGAAAUCUCCCGGCUCAACUGGGAGGGUGCGCCGAAUACUGAGCGACUAGAGUGCGGGAGAGGAAAGUGGAAUUCCUGGUGUAGCGGUGAAAUGCGUAGAUAUCAGGAGGAACACCGGUGGUGUAGACGGCUUUCUGGACCGUAACUGACGCUGAGACACGAAAGCGUGGGUAGCAAACAGG
rnacentral:rRNA from 1 species